UGGCGCCGUACAGGUCUUUCCCCAGAGAUUCUACUUCUUUCAGAGCGCAACUGAAAAAGAAGUGCACAGAUAACAACAUGAAGACCGCUGCAGAUGGAAAACUACAUAAAACAAACUCCCAGGAAGAGUGCCAAGGUUGGCGGCCGGCCGGUGGCCAAGUGCUUGCCCAGAGGGAUGGAGCUCAGCGGCACUGCCCAGCCAUCGUCGCACUGGUGCCCAUGAAGGGUCGCUCUGGAGAGUAGUUCAGAGUGCCAGCUCAUCAACCGCGUGGAGGCGGGGUGCCACGACGGAAACGGCGUCCCGUACGGGUGUUAUAAAACGCCACACUGCACAGUCGACGACACCUUUACUACUCCCUGGACCUGCAUGUCACGGGGACAGGGAGACAAAGCAGAGUUGUUAAGAGUCUUCAUGGACCACCGAGAUGCUUAGAGCACAACACAUCAGCAGAAACACCAAGUCCUCUGGGCCCCUCAGGUGAUAUACUCAUAGCGUAUGAAAAUGUCAACAUCCAGCUUUUUUAUGUAGGCUAUCUGAUUUUUAACCUCAUUAGGCAGCAAGAUUCCAUGUCCUGUGUGUGUGAUUGGAAGCUAUUUUAAACCCUUGAGGACCCUUUUGAAUAGAAAUGAAAAGAUAUUUAGAAUUUAAAAGUGCAAAAGCAGAGGCGAUGUAAGAAUCUAUAUAUUCUACAUUCUUGAUCACAGCCAAGGGCAAUACAGUACAUUAUGCUCUUUUUACGGAAAGCAUACUACAUGCUCAUUAUGUACUGUUUACUGCUUGCUAUUAUUUUGUGAAAUGGGAAUGUUAUUUAAAAAAUUUAGUGGUGUA